rnacentral:tRNA from 1 species
CAAAGCAUAGCUUAAACAAAGCAUCUAGUUUACACCUAGAAGAUUUCAUGAGCCAUGAGUGCCUUGA